rnacentral:tRNA from 1 species
GGACGCUUAGCUCAGUUGGUUAGAGCAAUCGGCUCAUAACCGAUCGGUCCUGGGUUCGAGUCCCCGAGCGUCCA